rfam:Musa acuminata subsp. malaccensis Doubled-haploid Pahang (DH-Pahang) genomic chromosome, chr2
GAUUUGCGAAGAGAGCUUCCUUCAGUCCACUCAUGGGUGGCUAUGGGACUUUGAUUAGCUGCCGACUCAUUCAUCCACAUGCCUGGCAAACUAGGGUUUUUGCUCGGCACAUGAGUGAAUGAUGCGGGAGGUAAGUCUGAUCCCAUGCCGUCUUUGCUUGGACUGAAGGGAGCUCCCUUAUCUACCACC